UGCUGCUUGUUGCUGACGUUUCUGCCCAAACAUCAUGAAAUGUGGAGAAGAAAGAACACUCAGAUGUGCCCUGGAGACUUUCCUUUUAUUUUUAAACAGUUUUUUUUUCCAUUGGGUUUGACCAACUCUAUAUUCGACUUGAACAAAUCCGAAGGAAAGCUUCCAAUUAUGGGGAACAAGUCCUCUGAAGUGGCUAAAUUCCCACACACACAAAAGAAAAGAUGAGUCUAUGCCCAGGACCACCAGAUAAUUGAGUCCUGUACAAAAGCUUCUGACUAAACAAUGUGCUCUGGCUCAGGACUAUACAGAGAAAAGACACAGUUUUUAAAUUGAUCGUUCAAAAGGAAACAUAUUUAUGAUAUUUGCUCCAUGAUAUGUAUCUCUCAUCUGUUAGCUCAGGCAGAAUUAAAAUGCUAGACAAUAA
rnacentral:lncRNA from 10 species